rnacentral:rRNA from 1 species
GACGAACGCUGGCGGCGUGCUUAACACAUGCAAGUCGAACGGAAAGACCCUGCUUUUGUGGGGUUCUCGAGUGGCGAACGGGUGAGUAACACGUGAGUAACCUGCCCUUGACUUUCGGAUAACUUCAGGAAACUGGGGCUAAUACCAGAUAGGAGCUCCUGCUGCAGUGUGGGGGUUGGAAAGUUUCGGCGGGUGGGGAUGGACUCGCGGCUUAUCAGCUUGUUGGUGGGGUAGGUGCUUACCAAGGCUUUGACGGGUAGCCGGCCUGAGAGGGUGACCGGCCACAAUGGGACUGAGAUACGGACCAGACUGCUACAGGAGGCAGCAGUGGCGAAUAUUGCACAAUGGGCGCAAGCCUGAUGAAGAAACGCCGCGUGCGGGAUGACGGUCUUCUGGUUGUAAACCGCUUUAGGCUAUGACGAAGCGUGAGUGACGGUAAUGGGUAAAGAAGCACCGGCUAACUACGUG